rnacentral:rRNA from 1 species
UGGUGGGUUGCCUUGUCAGGUUGAUUCCGGUAACGAACGAGACCUCAGCCUGCUAAAUAGUCAAUAUCGCACCUGCGGUAUGCCGACUUCUUAGAGGGACUAUUGGCGUUCAGCCAAUGGAAGUGUGAGGCGAUAACA